rnacentral:rRNA from 1 species
GAUGAACGCUGGCGGCGUGCUUAACACAUGCAAGUCGAACGGAAAGGCCAGUGCUUGCACUGGUACUCGAGUGGCGAACGGGUGAGUAACACGUGGGUGAUCUGCCCUGUACUUCGGGAUAAGCUUGGGAAACUGGGUCUAAUACCGGAUAGGACAACUUUUUGGAUAUUGUUGUGGAAAGCUUUUGCGGUAUGGGAUGAGCUCGCGGCCUAUCAGCUUGUUGGUGGGGUAAUGGCCUACCAAGGCGUCGACGGGUAGACGGCCUGAGAGGGUGUACGGCCACACUGGGACUGAGAUACGGCCCAGACUCCUACGGGAGGCAGCAGUGGGGAAUAUUGCAUAAUGGGCUCAAGCCUGAUGCAGCGACGCCGCGUGGGGUAUGAAGGCCUUCGGGUUGUAAACUCCUUUCGCUAGGGACGAAGCGUAAGUGACGGUACCUGGAGAAGAAGCACCGGCUAACUACGUG